AUGUUUUUGCCUAAUUUGUGUGUGCCUUGGUUUUGUAGGAAGUUGUCAAAUCUUGGUCUGAAGGGAAUGUUAUCUCCUGAGAUUGGACAGCUUAAUAAUAUGCAUUUUCUUAUACUGCACAGGAACUUGUUCUAUGGUAUUAUCCCUAGAGAGAUGGUAGAUUUACGAGAGCUGAAGGUGUUGGAUCUGGGGUACAAUAACUUAAAUGGAUCAAUUCCAUCAGAGCUAAUAAACAUUUUAUCCCUGGAAUUUAUCUUUCUUAAAAGAAACAAACUUUAUGGUGAUUUACCUCUUGAACUAAAUGAGCUCAUCAGUCUGUGUGAGUCUCAGGUUCGGCACGGCAGGACUUUCUCAAAUAGGAUGCCCGCUGCAAGGUUGUGGAAAAACGGAUGUAGCAUUCCUUCUACAAGUUGUCAUGAGCUGGGACAUAGAAGAAGAGAACCGACGAGAAGUUGCACAGCGGUUCGCUCUGGUGUAGCUGCCAAUGGCGUUGUGCAAAGUGUAGAUUGCAGGCUAGAUGCGUACGAGUCCGUCCCUAUGUCCACGAUGUCGAAGCAUAGAAAAUCAAGUCAAUUAGAUAAUAUAUCUGGCUAUGAAAGUUGUCUUUUGUGUAUGCAGUUUUGCCAUUAUUUUGUAAAAGCUUUUAGUUUUUAA
rnacentral:rRNA from 1 species